AUUGAACGCUGGCGGCAUGCUUUACACAUGCAAGUCGAACGGUAACAGGUUAAGCUGACGAGUGGCGAACGGGUGAGUAAUGCAUCGGAACGUGCCCGAUCGUGGGGGAUAACGCAGCGAAAGCUGCGCUAAUACCGCAUACGAUCUGAGGAUGAAAGCGGGGGACCGUAAGGCCUCGCGCGAUCGGAGCGGCCGAUGUCAGAUUAGGGAGUUGGUGGGGUAAAGGCUCACCAAGCCAACGAUCUGUAGCUGGUCUGAGAGGACGACCAGCCACACUGGGACUGAGACACGGCCCAGACUCCUACGGGAGGCAGCAGUGGGGAAUUUUGGACAAUGGGCGAAAGCCUGAUCCAGCAAUGCCGCGUGCAGGAAGAAGGCCUUCGGGUUGUAAACUGCUUUUGUACGGAGCGAAAAGGUUCUCUCUAAUACAGAGGGCUCAUGACGGUACCGUAAGAAUAAGCACCGGCUAACUACGUGCCAGCCGCCGCAGUAA
rnacentral:rRNA from 1 species